rnacentral:rRNA from 1 species
UACGUAGGCAGCGAGCGUUUGUUCGGAAUUACUGGGCGUAAAGAGUGUGUAGGCGGUGCUCUAAGUUCGGUGUGAAAUCUCCUGGCUCAACUGGGAGGGUGCGCCGGAAACUGGAGUGCUUGAGCGUGGGAGAGGAAAGACGGAGUUCCUGGUGUAGCGGUGAAAUGCGUAGAUAUCAGGAGGAACACCUGUGGUGUAGACGGCUUUCUGGGACCAUAGCUGGACGCGAGACACGAAAGCCGUGGGUAGCAAACAGG